rnacentral:rRNA from 1 species
GACGAACGCUGGCGGCGUGCUUAACACAUGCAAGUCGAACGCUGAAGCUCAGCUUUUGUUGGGUGGAUGAGUGGCGAACGGGUGAGUAACACGUGAGUAACCUGCCCCCUUCUUUGGGAUAACGCCCGGAAACGGGUGCUAAUACUGGAUAUUCACUGGUCUUCGCAUGGGGGUUGGUGGAAAGGGUUUUUCUGGUGGGGGAUGGGCUCGCGGCCUAUCAGCUUGUUGGUGGGGUGAUGACCUACCAAGGCUUUGACGGGUAGCCGGCCUGAGAGGGUGACCGGUCACAUUGGGACUGAGAUACGGCCCAGACUCCUACGGGAGGCAGCAGUGGGGAAUAUUGCACAAUGGGCGCAAGCCUGAUGCAGCGACGCCGCGUGAGGGAUGGAGGCCUUCGGGUUGUGAACCUCUUUCGCUCAUGGUCAAGCCGCAACAAUGGUUGUGGUGAGGGUAGUGGGUAAAGAAGCGCCGGCUAACUACGUG